UCCUUUCUUCUUCUCCCUCUAGCGCCGCUCAGCCUCUCUUUCUCUCUCUCUAUCUCUCUCUCUAGUCCUUGAUCACCGAUCGGCGUCAACAUUUCUUAUCGGCGUCGCUCUUCCAUCGCCACCUUUUCCUCUCGCCGUUCUCAUUUUCAGGAGAUGCAAUGAUCGUUGGAGAGCGGUGAUCUCCUCUUUGAUCGAACAGCUCCACUUAUAACACUCUCCUUCUUGUUCCGACAGUUCCAGCACCGACGACGAGCAUCAAUAGAUUCCUUUCCUCCCUGCAAAGCAUCAAUAGAUUCCUUUCCUCCCUGCAAAUAAAUCACCUCAUGCAAUUUAAGCUUUCGUCGGCGUUUUGGGGAGCGGCCAUUAACGACGAGGUUAGGGUGACUGUCGAUCUCUGUCCGGCAAAAUAGGCCAUGUACUAAGCAAACCACCACUGGAAAUGAACUAUUGAGUGAAAUCUGAGCCAGAUGGUGUGAAGCGCUCGAUUGCAAGCAAUCAUAGUUUUUCGGCCAUCGUAGACGACUGCAUCGACGACGGUCCGACGACCGAUCAACGAGUCUCCGGCGAGACCCCGGGAGGCAGAAACUUGAGAAUUACCCACUGAGCCUGAAUUGAAAUACAAUUUUUAAUCGAUCGUCCGAGUUUGUCUAACACUCUUGCUAGUCAAAUCCAAAUGAAGGCUUGCUCAUUCUUUUAUCAUUAAGAGCGUGAAGUGUGGAAAAUUGGGUUGUACCGCUUACGUGGCCGGUGAGUGGUUCGACCAAUUGCCUAUCUGGGUUCAAGAUUAUGUUCGAGAGGCUGGCUUCGGUCAUUUUGUUAACACCUUACCGCGGUGCAGUGGCGGACUCUUCCCUCUAGCAUCUUGGAAUUAAUAGAGCGAUGGAUAGACACUAAUCAUACCUUCCAUCUGCCAUUCAGUGAGAUGACUAUCACCUCGGUGGACUUUGCUCUAUUAUUGGCUUCCUUUCGGAGGGCGAUCAGUUGUAUUCGACAAUCAGUUAAGGACUUUAGAUUAGCCAGGCUUGCGGGCAAGCCUCAGAGCUAUUAUCGGGAUGGAGCCCACCAUCUCUGAUAAGAGGGUCGGCUACGAGAGCAUCAUCUCACGCUACGAGAGCAUCAUCUCACACUACGAGGAGAUGCCUCGAGAACACAUGGAAGAGAUAGAUGUGGACGUGGUGGCUCAAGCUUUCCUUUUCUAUCUGCCGUCGACCACCUUAUUCACAAAUCACGAUAAUAACGUAGACCUAGCGCUUCUACCACCUAUACUUUGCUUUGUCGAAUCUGUAUAAUUGGGGAGCUACUACCUUGUCAUAUCUAUACUAUGGGAUGGAUCUCUAUGUCUGAGGGGUGCACUUGAAGGUCGGCUAUAGGCGUGUCAUUGAGAUUUAGGCUUGUGAGCAUCAGAUCCUCCCUAUGCUGAGCUUGCUGGGCUUUGACAUUGCCACCACUGAGAGGACUCUCCCUUGAGGUCAAGCUUGGAGAUUUAGCUGGAGGUACGUUCAUACAACUUCGGACAUAUUAGCAUUCAAGCAGAUACUGAAUGGCCUAGCCUGCGAUCGGCGGUUAGGUACCAACAGAGGAUGCUCCUGUUGCCCAACCUCUUUUACGAUAUGUACUAUCUCGAAGAGAGGGUGUACGAGUGGGACCUUGGUCCAAACCGGAGGAGGGUGCCUCAUGAUGUGUCGUAUUACAUGCUGUCCACCAGGUUUAUCAGGCUUGAGCAGGACAUUGCGGCUGCAUGCAGAGGAUCGAUAGCCACUGACCACUGACAACUUUCGUGCCUAGUGUCUAUGCCAUCUUCGUAUAGACUCAACUUCUGGUCCAUGUCCCUCCGCCGUCUAAGUUUGACCCCUUUGCUGAAGUGGAGGAGCUUGAUAGGGAUCAUGGCCGUACCCCAGCUUGGCGCAACAAGCAUGUCAGGAGGGGCUCUGAUUUUGAGGCUCCGGACACGGCUGUCAUUAUUGGCAGGCUGGAGCAUAGCCCAAGUGCUUCCUUCUCCUUCAUCUUAGAGUGCACGGGGUAGGCAGCACAGGGUAUGUUGGAGACCCAUCUCGUGAGCCCAUAUUGGAUCAUUUUUCCAUAUUGCACCCAUGUUUCAAUUGCUGACUACAAUGAGGUAAGUCAGUUGUAUGAAGUGGCAUGCCUCAAGCUGGCAAUGGUGAGGCUCUCGGACGAGCACAUAUUUAGAGUUAGCAUGGCGCCUCGGGUAGGCCGAGGCCGGGAAUUCCAGCAUGGUGGGUGAGUUGGAAGCGGAGUUAGACGUAGACUGAUUAUCGUUGAAGAAACCAAGGAGUCUGGUAGUGACAACUCGGAGGAGACAACUUUGUAUGGGUCUUGAGGCAGCUACCCUUGCCCACUGCUUUCUUUUUAUUUCGCUUUCUUUUGUACUUAGGAUCCAAUUGGGGAAUGAUUUUUGUAAAGAAUCGAAUAUUUUCAUUUAUAGAAAGGCAAAAACCUAUUUCUUUA